rnacentral:ncRNA from 1 species
UAUCGAGAGUGACAGAGAGACGGACUCGAUGAAGUCACAGCAACCUAAAAUACCGUUAGGUGCUAAUUUCCGCAGGGCAAUCACCCUGAAAGAUG